CCUACGGGUGGCAGCAGUGAGGAAUAUUGGUCAAUGGACGCAAGUCUGAACCAGCCAUGCCGCGUGCAGGAAGACGGCUCUAUGAGUUGUAAACUGCUUUUGUACGAGGGUAAACGCAGAUACGUGUAUCUGUCUGAAAGUAUCGUACGAAUAAGGAUCGGCUAAAUUCGGUCCAGCCGCCGCGGUAAUACGGAGGAUUCAAGCGUUAUCCGGAUUUAUUGGGUUUAAAGGGUGCGUAGGCGGUCGGAUAAGUUAGAGGUGAAAUCCCGAGGCUCAACUUCGGAAUUGCCUCUGAUACUGUUCGGAUAGAGAGUAGUAGCGGUAGGCGGAAUGUAUGGUGUAGCGGUGAAAUGCUUAGAGAUCAUACAGAACACCGAUUGCGAAGGCAGCUUACCAGGCUACUUCUGACGUUGAGGCACGAAAGCGUGGGGAGCAAACAGGAUUAGAUACCCUUGUAGUC
rnacentral:rRNA from 1 species